UUUAAGUGUGUCGUUGGGCGGUACGUCGACUCUUCAAAACUUCAUUUUUCUGCUCUUUUCUUGAGUCAACGACCUGUAUCUUCAACUCCAUUCUUACUUUUCUCAAAUUAGCUACAAAACAAUGCAAAAUAAGCAUAAAAUCGUUAAAAUCAACUUUUGACUCUCUCCAUACUCAUUUAUUGAGUUUUGCUUGAUUCUAAGCUCAUUCUGAAUAGUAAAGGGUGUAAUUUGGUCCAAAUUGACAUAUGAAAAUCACUGUUUUUCAACCUUCAUCAACACCCCAAACUUAGAAUUUUGCUUGUCCUCAAGCAAAACAAAACAAAACAAUCACACAAAACAAAACUUGGCUUUAUACUGUUUCAUCCAAUGCCUCAACAAAUCCAAGGUACAUGACAAAACUACCCAAUUCAAUAUCCUCAGUGAAAUCCAAAAUAAGAUGCAUGCAUGCUUUCAACCCAUAAAUUACACAAUAGAUGUUAUACACUAUGAAUGAUCAAUCCACUAAGCAAAAAUGUACUCAUGAAAUUUAACAAUUCGUACCAAGAAAGUGUUUCACUCAAUCACUCAAGUGUUUAAGGUGACACUCCAACUCUCUAUUGUCCACAAGUCACAUGAAACAAAAUUGUCAUUCAUCUCAAACAAUCAACAUCUAUACAUGCAAAUGCCAUCAAAAGGACUUUUCCAAAGCUUGUAAUGAGGUUGGGCUGACAAGAACGAAUGGAUUUUUCUAGAAUGCAAAAUCCUUGAGUUAAGAGAGCUAUUAAAAUAUUCAACAUUUAAGCACAACUCUCCUCCUCACUAAUCUCUCUUAUUCCCAACUUCUCCCUUUUCUUUUUCUAUUUCUUUUGCAUUGAGCUCUUCUUCAUGCUUUUCUUCUUUUCUUUUCUUUUUNUCAUGAAUUUUUCUUUUCACAACAUUUGAGCUCAAUGCUUUUCGCUUGCUUUUUCAAUUUUCCCCCAGCAACCCCAAACUUGAACCUUUUCAUCGCAUACAAUGAAGCUCAUCCCAACUCAAGGUAAAGAUUUACAAGACAAGGGUUCACAUACUAUUUAAGGCUAAGUUUCAAAAAGGGUAAAAUGUUUUCAAGCACUUUGGGUGAAAUUUUGGCUAGAGCAGGGUUUUCAAAAAUGGCCUUGAUCAUAUGACAUUCACAUGCAAUUCAGUCAAUCAUCAAUAUUAAGGCAAUAUCAUCCAUAUUUUCCUGUGAACAAUACAUGCAACAAUAAAAACUCUGGAGCUCAAAAUCUCACACACAUGCUUCCUCACACAAAAUUCAUUCAUACACCAUGC
rnacentral:lncRNA from 1 species